GCCCAGUCGGCUCAGUCCAGGGAGCGUGUGACUCUUGAUCUCAGGGUUGUGAGUGCGAGUCCCGCAUUGGGCA
rnacentral:tRNA from 1 species